rnacentral:rRNA from 1 species
AUUGAACGCUGGCGGCAGGCUUAACACAUGCAAGUCGAGCGGAGAUGAGGUGCUUGCACCUUAUCUUAGCGGCGGACGGGUGAGUAAUGCUUAGGAAUCUGCCUAUUAGUGGGGGACAACAUUCCGAAAGGAAUGCUAAUACCGCAUACGUCCUACGAGAGAAAGCAGGGGAUCUUCGGACCUUGCGCUAAUAGAUGAGCCUAAGUCGGAUUAGCUAGUUGGUGGGGUAAAGGCCUACUAAGGCGACGAUCUGUAGCGGGUCUGAGAGGAUGAUCCGCCACACUGGGACUGAGACACGGCCCAGACUCCUACGGGAGGCAGCAGUGGGGAAUAUUGGACAAUGGGGGAAACCCUGAUCCAGCCAUGCCGCGUGUGUGAAGAAGGCCUUAUGGUUGUAAAGCACCUUAAGCGAGGAGGAGGCUACUGAGACUAAUACUCUUGGAUAGUGGACGUUACUCGCAGAAUAAGCACCGGCUAACUCUGUGCCAGCAGCCGCAGUAA